AACGAACGCUGGCGGCAUGCCUAACACAUGCCAGUCGAACGACAGCUCCGGGUCUAGUUGCGCACGGGUGCGUCACGCGUCGGAAGCUGCCCUUAUGCUUCGAAUACCUCCCCUACAGGGGUGCUAAUACCGGGUAAUGUCCUCGGACAAAAGAUAGAUCGUCCUUGGAUGGGCCGGAGUUGUUUCAGCUUGUCGGUAGUGUAAAAGCCUACCAAGGCGUCGAUCGAUAGCUGGUCAGAGAGGAUGAGCAGCCACACUGGGACGGAGACGCGGCGCAGACUCCUACGGGAGGCAGCAGUGGGGGAUAUUGGAAAAUGGGCGAAAGCCUGAUCCAGCAAUGCCGGGUGAGUGAUGAAGGCGUUAGGGUUGUAAAGCUCUUUUACCCGGGAUGAUAAUGACAGUACCGGGAGAAUAAGCACCGGCUAACUUCGUG
rnacentral:rRNA from 1 species